rnacentral:rRNA from 1 species
UACGUAGGGUGCAAGCGUUGUCCGGAAUUAUUGGGCGUAAAGAGCUCGUAGGCGGUUUGUCGCGUCUGCUGUGAAAACUCGGGGCUUAACUCCGGGCCUGCAGUGGGUACGGGCAGACUAGAGUGAUGUAGGGGGAGACUGGAAUUCCUGGUGUAGCGGUGAAAUGCGCAGAUAUCAGGAGGAACACCGAUGGCGAAGGCAGGUCUCUGGGCAUUAACUGACGCUGAGGAGCGAAAGCAUGGGGAGCGAACAGG